GACGAACGCUGGCGGCGUGCCUAAUACAUGCAAGUAGAACGCUGAAGAGAGGAGCUUACUCUUCUUGGAUGAGUUGCGAACGGGUGAGUAACGCGUAGGUAACCUGCCUUGUAGCGGGGGAUAACUAUUGGAAACGAUAGCUAAUACCGCAUAACAAUGGAUGACACAUGUCAUUUAUUUUAAAGGGGCAAUUGCUCCACUACAAGAUGGACCUGCGUUGUAUUAGCUAGUAGGUGAGGUAAUGGCUCACCUAGGCGACGAUACAUAGCCGACCUGAGAGGGUGAUCGGCCACACUGGGACUGAGACACGGCCCAGACUCCUACGGGAGGCAGCAGUAGGGAAUCUUCGGCAAUGGGGGCAACCCUGACCGAGCAACGCCGCGUGAGUGAAGAAGGUUUUCGGAUCGUAAAGCUCUGUUGUAAGUCAAGAACGGGUGUGAGAGUGGAAAGUUCACACUGUGACGGUAGCUUACCAGAAAGGGACGGCUAACUACGUG
rnacentral:rRNA from 1 species